rnacentral:lncRNA from 1 species
AUAUAAAUAAUUGGAUUUCAUCCAAUUACUCAACAUGGGUUAUGUACUUUUCAAAAACUUGGCCCUUGCCAAAAAUCCAUUAUCGGGGAUACCCCACGAAGGCAUCUUAUUGAGACCGCCAAGGCUGUUUAUUGUCACACACACAAACACAUUUCACCUCUGACAACACAGCCGUUCCUCGGCGUUGGCUGAGUCCCAGUUUCACGUGGUGGCCAGCGUGAAGUGUACUCAAAUCCUACCUCGGGAGUUAUCCUACGCGCCUCUCCAAUCAAGGUAAGCUCAAUAAUUGGGAACCGUGCCCCUCUAAUUAGGCUGGCCCAUGGAACCCCCGUCACUGCAAUGCCCACUUUAUAAUCCACAAACCAAUAAAAUCACAAUAGUAUGACAUGACUCACUUAACACAUUCAAGGCAAAUCAAAACAGUUCACAUAUUCUUUAAAUCAUAAAAAUAACCAGUCAUACCCACAUUUAUCAUAAGCCAUUUAAUGUAAAAUCAUGGAUAAACAACACAAUCAUAGUAUAGGUCUCCAAUUACUCUAUUUUCAAAAUCAGCAUUCGAUUUUUCAGAAAAUUUAUAAAAUCAAUUUAUAAAAUCACAAUUUCUCCUAAAA